rnacentral:rRNA from 1 species
AUUGAACGCUAGCGGGAUGCUUUACACAUGCAAGUCGAACGAGUGGCGGACGGGUGAGUAAUCUAUGGGAAAGUGCCCAGUCGAGGGGGAUAACUACUCGAAAGCGUGGCUAAUACCGCAUACUAUUGGAGCGGCCGAUAUGGGAUUCGCUAGUUGGUGGGGUAAAGGCUCACCAAGGCAACGAUCCGUAGCUGGUUUGAGAGGACGACCAGCCACACUGGGACUGAGACACGGCCCAGACUCCUACGGGAGGCAGCAGUGGGGAAUAUUGGACAAUGGGGGCAACCCUGAUGCAGCCAUGCCGCGUGUAUGAGAAGGCCUUCGGGUUGUAAAGUACUUUUGGCAGAGAGGCGGUAUCUGCAGAAUAAGCACCGGCUAACUACGUGCCAGCAGCCGCGGUAAUUC